ACAAGUUCUGUGGCAAAUAUGAUGCACAGAGCCAAAUCCAGGAAGAUCUAGACCCUUGGAGGCCCAGACCAAGUCUACCAUGACAGUGCUUCCUGCCUCUCUCUGGGGUCGCCUGGCAACCAUUUGCAAGGCUCCUGCCAUCAGCUCCAUAUCGAGCAAGGGCAUCUGGAAGCUCGUUUGGGAUGGAAACUGCUCCCUUUCACCACCCCUGCUGGCCUUCUGUGGGCAGAGAGAUGCCCUGUGACUGCUCCUGUCUGAUCACAUUCCCCACUCUCCUCACCCUGAAGUUAACAUCUCUGCACUGGCUGGAAAAAAUUGAAUUCCUUUCCCAACACAUCAAUAAGUGUCCUCAGACAGAGGUGGUUGAAAAGAAGAGACA